rnacentral:rRNA from 11 species
AAGUUUGUCCAUGCCUGCUCUAAAGGCACCAGAUCUUGUCUGAUCUUGGAAGUUAAGCAGGAGAAGUCCUGGUAAGAAUGUGCAUGGGAGACCAUCAAGGAAUCCCAGACGCAACAUUUC